GACGAACGCUGGCGGCGUGCUUAACACAUGCAAGUCGAACGGGCCUUGUCCCCUUUUUUUUUGGGGGUGGGGUUAGUGGCGAACGGGUGAGUAACACGUGAGUAACCUGCCCCUCACUUCUGGAUAACCGCUUGAAAGGGUGGCUAAUACGGGGUGUUCUGGCCUGCUCGCAUGGGUGGGUUUGGAAAGAUUCGACCGGUUUUGGUUGUUGUGGUGGGGGAUGGGCUCGCCGCCUAUCAGCUUGUUGGUGGGGUGAUGGCCUGCCAAGGCUUUGACGGGUGGGAGGCCUGAGAGCGUGGGGGGUCACUAUGGGACUGAGACACGGCCGAGACUGCUACGAGAGGCAGCAGUGGGGAAUUUUGCACAAUGGGCGAAAGCCUGAUGCAGCGACGCCGCGUGAGGGAUGGAGGCCUUCGGGUUGUGAACCUCUUUCGCCAGUGAAGAAGGUCCUGCUCUUUGUGGUGGGGUUGACGGUAGCUGGGUUAAUGAAGCGCCGGCUAACUACGUG
rnacentral:rRNA from 1 species